UACGAACCGAGCGACCGUUGUUCGGAAUCACUGGGCUUAAAGGGCGCGUAGGCGGGCCCGCCAGUCUGUGGUGAAAUCCUCCGGCUCAACCGGAGAACUGCCUCGGAUACUGCGGGUCUCGAGGGUGAUAGGGGUAUGCGGAACUAUCGGUGGAGCGGUGAAAUGCGUUGAUAUCGAUAGGAACUCCGGUGGCGAAGGCGGCAUACUGGAUCACUUCUGACGCUGAGGCGCGAAAGCCAGGGGAGCAAACGGG
rnacentral:rRNA from 1 species